rnacentral:rRNA from 1 species
AUUGAACGCUGGCGGCAGGCCUAACACAUGCAAGUCGAGCGCGAAAGUUCUUCGGAAUGAGUAAAGCGGCGGACGGGUGAGUAAUGCAUGGGAAUCUGCCUGGUAGUGGGGGACAACGUCUCGAAAGGGACGCUAAUACCGCAUACGCCCUACGGGGGAAAGGGGGGGAUCUUCGGACCUCUCGCUAUCAGAUGAGCCCAUGUCAGAUUAGCUAGUUGGUGGGGUAAAGGCCUACCAAGGCGACGAUCUGUAACUGGUCUGAGAGGAUGAUCAGUCACACUGGAACUGAGACACGGUCCAGACUCCUACGGGAGGCAGCAGUGGGGAAUAUUGGACAAUGGGCGAAAGCCUGAUCCAGCCAUGCCGCGUGUGUGAAGAAGGCCUUAGGGUUGUAAAGCACUUUCAGUGGGGAGAAAGGCUGUUUACUUAACACGUAGGCAGAUUGAUGUUACCCACAGAAGAAGCACCGGCUAACUCCGUG